GUGUCAGCCGCCGCGGUAACACGUAUGGGGCGAGCGUUGUUCGGAAUUACUGGGCGUAAAGGGCGUGUAGGCGGUUCGAAAAGCCUGGCGUGAAAGUCAUCGGCCCAACCGAUGGACGGCGCUGGGAACUGCCGGACUGGAGUCAUGGAGGGGGAGCUGGAAUUCCAGGUGUAGGGGUGAAAUCUGUAGAGAUCUGGAAGAACACCGGUGGCGAAGGCGAGCUCCUGGCCAAUGACUGACGCUGAGGCGCGAAAGCGUGGGGAGCAAACAGGAUUAGAUACCCUGGUAGUCCACGCUGUAAACGAUGUGCACUAGGUGUUGGUGUCAUACAGGCAUCGGUGCCGUAGCUAAGGCGUUAAGUGCACCGCCUGGGGAGUAUGCUCGCAAGGGUGAAACUCAAAUGAAUUGACGGGG
rnacentral:rRNA from 1 species